AACGCAUCUUGCACCCUUUGGUAUUCCAAAGGGUACGCCUGUUUCAGUAUCAUUAUAACCUUUCUCCCCAAGGCUUUUUGGCCAAGGAGGGAAAGAGCAUAACCGGUGGCCCAGCGGUCUCCCAUCAGGGGGAUUGUCUCGGCUGGAAUGACUGUUGCAAUGGUGGGCCAAAUGGUCUUCCGCACUUGAUAAAUGUACUUUUAUAAAGAGCGGGGCCGGUCUACCGAAAGUUGUAACUAAACCCUUUACCUUUGAUCUGAAAUCAGGCGGGAUUACCCGCUGAACUUAA
rnacentral:misc_RNA from 2 species